AGGACGAACGCUGGCGGCGUGCUUAACACAUGCAAGUCGAGCGGUAAGGCUCCUUCGGGAGUACACGAGCGGCGAACGGGUGAGUAACACGUGAGCAAUCUGCCCUUCUCUUCGGAAUAACCAUUGGAAACGAUGGCUAAUGCCGAAUACGACCUCCGUUCGCAUGAUCGGAGGUGGAAGCUCCGGCGGAGAAGGAUGAGCUCGCGGCCUAUCAGCUAGUGGCGGGUAACGCCACCAAGGCGACGACGGGUAGCCGGCCUGAGAGGGUGACCGGCCACACUGGGACUGAGACGACGGCCCAGACUCCGUACGGGAGCAGCAGUGGGGAAUAGUGGACAGUGGGCGAAAGCCUGAUCCAGCAACGCGCGUGAGGCUGGACGGUCCUU
rnacentral:rRNA from 1 species